rnacentral:rRNA from 1 species
GACGAACGCUGGCGGCGUGCCUAAUACAUGCAAGUAGAACGCUGAAGGAGGAGCUUGCUUCUCUGGAUGAGUUGCGAACGGGUGAGUAACGCGUAGGUAACCUGCCUGGUAGCGGGGGAUAACUAUUGGAAACGAUAGCUAAUACCGCAUAAGAGUAGAUGUUGCAUGACAUUUGCUUGAAAGGUGCAAUUGCAUCACUACCAGAUGGACCUGCGUUGUAUUAGCUAGUUGGUGGGGUAACGGCUUACCAAGGCGACGAUACAUAGCCGACCUGAGAGGGGGAUCGGCCACACUGGGACUGAGACAAGGCCCAGACUCCUACGGGAGGCAGCAGUAGGGAAUCUUCGGCAAUGGACGGAAGUCUGACCGAGCAACGCCGCGUGAGUGAAGAAGGUUUUCGGAUCGUAAAGCUCUGUUGUAAGAGAAGAACGAGUGUGAGAGUGGAAAGUUCACACUGUGACGGUAUCUUACCAGAAAGGGACGGCUAACUACGUG